GUAGGUGGCAAGCGUUGUCCGGAAUUAUUGGGCGUAAAGCGCGCGCAGGCGGUUCUUUAAGUCUGAUGUGAAAGCCCACGGCUCAACCGUGGAGGGUCAUUGGAAACUGGAGAACUUGAGUACAGAAGAGGAAAGCGGAAUUCCACGUGUAGCGGUGAAAUGCGUAGAGAUGUGGAGGAACACCAGAGGCGAAGGCGGCUUUUCUGGUCUGUAACUGACGCUGAGGCGCGAAAGCGUGGGGAGCAAACAGGGAUUAGAUACCCUGGUAGUCCACGCCGUAAACGAUGAGUGCUAAGUGUUCGGGGGUUUCCGCCCCCUUAGUGCUGCAGCUAACGCAUUAAGCACUCCGCCUGGGGAGUACGACCGCAAGGUUG
rnacentral:rRNA from 1 species